rnacentral:rRNA from 1 species
GAUGAACGCUGGCGGCGUGCUUAACACAAGCAAGUCGAACGAUGAACCCGGAGCUUGCUCCGGUGGAUUAGUGGCGAACGGGUGAGUAACACGUGAGUAACCUGCCCUUGACUCUGGGAUAACUGCGGGAAACUGUAGCUAAUACCGGAUACGACCCUCGGCGGCAUCGCCAGGGGGUGGAAAGAAUUUCGGUCAAGGAUGGACUCGCGGCCUAUCAGCUAGUUGGUGAGGUAACGGCUCACCAAGGCGACGACGGGUAGCCGGCCUGUGAGGGUGAACGGCAAAACUGGGCCGAGGACACGGCCCAGACUCCGACGGGAGGCAGCAGUGGGGAAUAUUGCACAAUGGGCGCAAGCCUGAUGCAGCGACGCCGCGUGAGGGAUGACGGCCUUCGGGUUGUAAACCUCUUUCAGCACCGACGAAGCGCAAGUGACGGUAGGUGCAGAAGAAGGACCGGCCAACUACGUGCCAGCCGCCGCCGUAA